CAAUAGCGUAUAUUAAAGUUGUUGCAGUUAAAAAGCUCGUAGUUGGAUUUCUGGUUGAAGCGACCGGUCGGGCGUUGAUUCGUCUGCAUUGGAGUCGGUUUUGGCCAUCCUCUAGGAAAGUGCGUCUGGUAUUAAGUUAUCGGGCGUAUGAUCCUGGUCUUUUACUGUGAAAAAAUUAGAGUGUUUAAAGCAGGCCUUCGCCUUGAAUACAUUAGCAUGGAAUAAUAAGAUAGGACUUUGGUCUAUUUUGUUGGUUUGCAGACCGAAGUAAUGAUUAAUAGGGAUAGUUGGGGGUAUUUAUAUUCCGAUGUCAGAGGUGAAAUUCUUAGAUUUUCGGAAGAUAAACUUAUGCGAAAGCAUUUACCAAGGAUGUUUUCAUUAA
rnacentral:rRNA from 1 species